rnacentral:lncRNA from 1 species
GGUUAUCUCACAGGGGUCCCUGCUGAAGCCACUUAGCAGCACUCAUGUUAAGGGGUGGUGACCUCCAACCCCAGAACUGGGGCACUCUGGCAAAGGCAGCCUGUAACCACCCUGAGUGUAAUUUGUCAGAGACAUGAAGGUUAACAUUUUUCUUCACAAAAACUAUCUUUAAUGGCCAUCAGCAGUCAGGACCUCCGAUUUCUGUCUCAUUUGAAAGCUUUUAAUGCUUUCAGAGGGAUAGAUGGGGUGACCUAAUAGGUCUUUUCCAUCUCUGAUUUUCUAUGAUUAAUGAAGUUCAAUUGUGCAGAAUAAAAUGGUGAGUUUCUCGGUGUCAUUUCAGCUGUAUUCCUCUUCCCUCCCUCUUUCUUUCCUCAUUUUUUUUUUUAGACAGAUGAUAAUCAUGCACAUUUUCUCUUAAUGCUUCAGGGAAAAAAAGGACUUUUUCUUCUGAGCCAGGCUUUGAAAAUGUCAAGGGCACAGACUUCAAGAUGUCAUCUUGGAAGCAGAGACUGGACCUUCACCAGACUCAAAACCUACCAGUACCUUGAUCCUAAACGUCUUUCCCGGCUCCAGAACUGUGAGAAAGUAAGUUUCUGUUUUUCAUAAAUUAUCCAGUCUCAGGUAUUCUGUUAUAGCAGCACAAAACAGACUAAGAUGGGUGUUUGAAUCAACUUGAGCUUCCUGAGACUCAAGUUAGAGUGGCAGAGCUAGAAUCCUUGGAGGUGAAACUCCAGGAUCUGCAUUUAAUCUGCCCACCUCUCCCAGGAACAUUGCUGCACAUCCAAGUUUGGGAAUAAUUGCCAGGACUUUUAAAGUUUUUUUUUUUUAUUAAAGUUUUUUAUUAAAGUUCCAAAAUAUAUGUGCAGAACGUGUAGUUUUGUUACAUAGGUAUACAUGUACCAUGGUGGUUUGCUGCCCCUAUCAACCCAUCCUUUAGUUUUAAAACCACCCA